UUCAAUUGGUCUGUGGUCUGU
rnacentral:piRNA from 1 species